ACAUCAUCACUCCACCUCCCGUGGACCAUCCCCAGGUGACAUUAAUGGCACUUAAAUGUGAUAACAAGGUUCAGACCAGAGUCUUCACACAUGCUGAACUGUGUGCUCUAUCAGGUCUCACCAGCCCCUCUCUUAUCUUUCUGUUUUGUCUCAACCUGAACUCUCUACUCUCACCAAGAAGCAUCCAGAAAAAUGGAGAUCAUGGUCAACUAGGAAAACCAAAGUAUAUCACCUGGCACUGCAACAAGACAGGACUAGAACCACUUAAGGA